CCCCAGACUCCUACGGGAGGCAGCAGUGGGGGAUAUUGCACAAUGGGGGAAACCCUGAUGCAGCGACGCCGCGUGAGUGAAGAAGUAUUUCGGUAUGUAAAGCUCUAUCAGCAGGGAAGAAAAAAGACGGUACCUGACUAAGAAGCCCCGGCUAACUACGUGCCAGCAGCCGCGGUAAUACGUAGGGGGCAAGCGUUAUCCGGAUUUACUGGGUGUAAAGGGAGCGUAGGCGGUUUAGCAAGUCAGAAGUGAAAGCCCGGGGCUCAACUCCGGGACUGCUUUUGAAACUGUUGAACUAGAUUGCAGGAGAGGUAAGUGGAAUUCCUAGUGUAGCGGUGAAAUGCGUAGAUAUUAGGAGGAACACCAGUGGCGAAGGCGGCCUGCUGGACGAUGACUGACGUUGAGGCUCGAAAGCGUGGGGAGCAAACAGGAUUAGAUACCCCAGUAC
rnacentral:rRNA from 1 species